rnacentral:rRNA from 1 species
AGUGAACGCUGGCGGCAGGCCUAAUACAUGCAAGUCGAACGAACGCACAGUAAGAGUUCGCCUUUAAGGGUGGCGAGUGGCGGACGGGUGAGGCAUACAUCGGAUUCUACUUUUUCGUGGGGGAUAACGUAGGGACACUUACGCUAAUACAGCAUAUGAUCUACGGGUGAAAGCAGGAGAUCUUCGCACUUUGCCCGUCUGAAUGAGCCGAUGUCGGAUUAGCUAGUUGGUGGGGUAAAGGCCCACCAAGGCGACGAUACGUAGCAGGUCUGAGAGGAUGAUCAGCCACACUGGAACUGAGACACGGUCCAGACUCCUACGGGAGGCAGCAGUAGGGAAUAUUUGGCAAUGGGCGCAAGCCUGAUCCAGCCAUGCCGCGUGAGUGAAGAAGGCCUUCGGGUUGUAAAGCCCUGUUAUUGGGAAAGAAAAGCAGCAUAUUAAAACCCCGCUGUUUUGACGGUACCCAAAGAGUAAGCACCGGCUAACUUCGUG